rnacentral:rRNA from 1 species
UUAGCUUCAGCGAUGGAUCGGUCGAUUCGCGUAUCGAUGAAAAACGCAGCUAGCUGCGUUAUUUNCCACGAAUUGCAGNCGCUUAGAGUGGUGNNAUUUUGAACGCAUAGCNCCGUUGGGUUUUCCCUUNGGCACGUCUGGUUCAGGGUUGU